rnacentral:lncRNA from 1 species
UCACUACUGUCACCGUAGAGUGCAAGGAUCUGGAUGAGAAGGGGCGACGGCAAUGUGGCCACCGCUGCUGUGAAAGGAAGAAAGUCAGAGAAGAGGAGAAGGAGCGGGACAAGAAGAAGAGAAGGAGGAAGAUAAGAAGAGAAAAAGUGGGGCGAAGGGAAGAGAGGCAGAGAACAAGUGAUGAGUGGGGCAGUGGCAGCACCAGCGCCGCCGGCGAGAGGAAGUUGAGAGACUUGAGGAGAGACAGAGAGGGUCGGAGAUUAGGGUUUAGAGAGUUGUGAAUUUUGAAUUAAGAAGAGCUUUUAUAUGCCUAAGUUGGGUUAGGAUAAAAUUACGUCACUACACUUAAUUUCAGUUCAGUAGCUGUAAUUCCUUCAAGGGUUGCCCUCCUGGAUCGUAUUUCAAGUGAUCGAACCGAUUUCCUCACUCGACGACCCUAGUCUCGUUCACACGAUUCAGAUUUUCUGUUGGGCCCAACUUGAGCUUGAGCCCAAAUUAAUUCCAAUUCAACAUAAUUAAACCCAAUGGAAAUCCUUUAACAAAUUAAUAAACGAAUUGGGAUAAGUUUAAUUAGCUUAAUUAAUGUUACUGUUAAAAUCGUUUUCUAAUCUAAUAAUCAUCAAAACUAAAUGAUCCAAAUAACUCAUUUAAUCAGUAACAAUAUAACAAAAAUAAAGACUGUUCUCACUAAAUAAAAGUUUGGAGGAAAACAUGAUUAAAAGCGAUUAAAAUGACCAACUAUUGCUUAGUUUGACACCAUUUACAUCUUGAACCCAAAGACUAUAAAACGACCCAAAAUAUGACGUCAAAAUCGAGAAAAUAUGGGGUUCUUUGUUCAAAACAGGUUUCUGGAAUUUCAUUAAAACAUGCAAAAUAAUCGAAGUUUUCAACAAAUAAACUACAACGAUUGUACUAAAAUUAAUAAGUCAUUUUGAUCUACAUUUGUGUCUUUAUGUCUAGGAAUGGGUAAUUAUAGCUUGACUUUAUCUAAUUCUGUCCUCCGGUUAAAAAAUUGAAGUAAUUUCAGACACUGUUUUACCUUCCUGAGUAGAGUUUUUCCUCUACUCAAACUUUCUCGAGCAAAGUUAGGUUCGCGCUCUCUGCACCUGAAGUCAAAAUAAAAAUCUAUUUUCUUUGUGUUAACCGACAAAAGUGGAUCUCUUUAAAAUAGGAAUAAGUGUGUUUCACCUCGUUUCGGUCCCAUCGUCGGCAUGCCUUGCAGUGAGGGUCGAGCCAUCGUCCGUGCAUCCUUCUUUUUUCCUCUUUAGUCAACGGCCCCAAAGAAAAUCGAAGUAAAAAAGCUAAAACGAUCAGUAAUUAAAAAUAAAUGGAAGAAGCUUGUACAACCCAGAAUUUCGUAGAUCGGUGUUGCAUGUCAGUGGAGGACUCGCCGGAGGCGCGGGUGACAUGAACCCCGAAACUUAUUAUUUUGAAAAAAGAAAAGGAAUAGAGGAGUAAGGACGAUUUGCUAUCUCUAUCGUCUCCGCUGUCACCGUAGAGUUGACAGAGAUGAGAUGGAGAUACGCGGCAGCACUACCACCAUCACCGUGAGACGAAGAAGAAGAAGCAGAAGCAAAGGAGGGAAAAAGAGGUAAGAACAAAAGAAGAAGAAAAGACGAGGAGCCAAGAGAAGAGAGGCAGAGAAGAAAGUGAUUAGUGAGGCGACGGUGGUGCUACUACUGCCAUCGAGAGGAAGUUGAGAGAACAUAAAAGAGAGAGAGAGGAUCGGCGGCUAGGGUUUAGAGAGUUGUG